rnacentral:rRNA from 1 species
ACGCAUUUGACUCCCUCUCCGAGGACGCCGCAGCCCGCGGGGAAGUGCAAACGUGACGGCCUUGAAGGCGGGAGACGGCAGGUGGCCGGUGGCGGGGCUCGUCCCUUUCGCCGGUUGUUAGCCUUCCCGUCGGUGGCUCGUCUCCCCGCGGAGGUAUCAUGACGUCCUUCGGGGCGUCUGCAUCUCCUCCUCGUUAGAAGUCUGGACGUGCAGUGGCGAGCGAAGGCAACCGCGCGGCCGCACUCCGCCGGAGUGGGCCAGCGUACGGUCGGCGCCGGCGGCCGCUGAGGACCAGUCGGAGGUCGGAGGUUAGCGGCGAGUAGGUCGGUCACCCACCCGACCCGUCUUGAAACACGGACCAAGGAGUCUAACAUGUGCGCGAGUCAAUGGGUCUCGAACAAGCCCAGAGGCGCAAUGAAAGUAAAGGUCGGCACCAGCCGGCCGAGUCGGGAUCCCCCGCGAGAGCGGGGGCGCACCGACGACCCGUCUUAUGCCGUUCACGGCUUGGGCGGAGUGUGAGCGUACACGUUGGGACCCGAAAGAUGGUGAACUAUGCCCGGACAGGACGAGGCCAGAGGAAACUCUGGUGGAGGUCCGCAGCGGUUCU